UGUAACACAGAAUACUUCCUAAAAAUGCAUUCAGAUACGUUUGUACAUAUCUACAGUUCUCUGGGGUUGCAUGUAUAAUUGUUACUUUUAAGUUUUAGCUUCGUGUAGUUCAGUAUAUACACUGUUGUGAAACAGUUGUGAGAGGACGUCCACAAGGUGACGUCCUUUACACGUGCAUUUAUAGUCCAUCAUGACCCUAUGAAAUCAGUAUGAAAUAUGCUAAAGCAAUUGUGCUUACACCUUGAUUAUUACUGUAAUAAUUUAUUUAAAUGCCCCAAGUAGUUUUAAGAGGCUGUGAAUAGACGACCUCGUCUAGUCAAGCAUUACAUUAAAAAUAAAUAAAUAAGUAAGUAAAUAAAUAAAUAAAAACAGGAAAUCGUAAUGAAAUACAAGUAAUUUGUAUUUACAUCUUGUUUAAUGAAUAUUCACAAAGUGCUGUGUGGUUAAGUGAUUACAAAGCCACUGAAUUUUAGUCAUAAUUCUGCCCGUUUUCCUUAAAUUGCAAUACGAUUUUAUUAUUUUAAGUUUAUGCAUAUACAUAUAAAACAAAUAUCUUCAGUCACCAUUUGAAGUCUGAGUUGGGUGUAGAUUGCCAAAACUGUGCUGCCAAGAUGUUGUAACAAAUCUCGCGAUAGGAUAGAUCAUCUCGCGAUGGGAUAGAUUAUCUCGCGAUGGGAUAGAUUAGCUCGCAAUACAAUACAUUAUCUCGCGAGAAAACUUUAACACGUUUUUAUCUUUCCAUAACCAGGAGGAGAGCGCGUCUUUGUGUUGCAAAGCUUUAUGUGUUGAUUUAUUACAAAAUCACUGGUGGUGGAUGCACAACAUGACACCAUCAACGUCAACAACAUUCAUGGACCCGUGGACACAUGUUGAGGUGGUCACAUAACGAACAGCCAUCUGUCAGGCCAUGUGCCACAACCAAACAAGUAUUGUCUCCAGUCCCAAAUGCUUCAUUGCCAUCCCAGUCCCAGAGGACCCCCCAGGGUAAAGUACAGCCAGCUAAUCUGACAGUAACUAAUGCAGUAAAAUGGUCCUCGAGAGCCACUGCCUGGCUUGUUUUCCAGCUGUCCCUGCCCUUCCAGCUUCUGACUGACAACACACCUGAUCCAUUACUAAUCAGCAGUGAGUAAGGCAUGGAUAGUUGGUAAACAAGCAGAGUCAUGUCAAAUGCUUAAUGGCCAAAUGAAUGUAUGAGGGGUGGUGGCCAACUUUCAAAGCAUUUCAAAGCUACAGCUUUGUACUAUGUAAUUUAAGAUGCUCUGAAGAGGUGGAGUCCAACUGCCACAGACUCCGAAAUUGAUGCAUCAAUGGCGGAACACCUAAAACACGCUCCAGGAAGAGCUGGGGGCGGUGGUUAUAAGAAAUAAGCUGUUUUGAGAGACAUUUACAUGUGUGUUUACUUUAAUCCAGUAUUUUUGUUUUGUACUUGUUUGAUUUAUAGCUGUUUAAAAUUUAAUGCAAAACUGUUUCAAUUAAAAAAAUUGAGUACUGCCACAAUAAUAAUGCUUCUGGAACUUAAACAAGUGCUUGUGGAGCAACAAAAUGAUAGUAAAAAUUUUGGAAUAAUGAUAAAUGAAUAAAAGAUUAUAAAUAUACAUAUGUGUUCACUUUUAUCCGUUACCUUGGUUAUGGUCUUGUUUGAAUAAUGGCUACUUAAAAUUAAUGUCAAGCUUUGAGAAAAUUGGUGCAUGCUUAGAAUUAACUACAUUAUACUAUUUCUAUUUUCAUGUUUAAAUAGUAGCUGUUUAACAAAUGGAAGACCUUGAAAAAAAUGUAAUAUGCACAAAAUAUGUUGUAGUAAAUUAGAACGGUCUAAUUCUUGCUUAAGUCCACCCACAAAAUGUUUUAUUGUUUGUAAUGUACACGUGAUUAAAACGUUUUGUAGACGUUCAGGUCUGACUGGACCGACUUUGGACCGUUUUUGAACUUGUAGUAAGUUAAGGUGUCUAAA